rnacentral:rRNA from 1 species
AUUGAACGCUGGCGGCAGGCCUAACACAUGCAAGUCGAGCGGAUGAAGGGAGCUUGCUCCUGUAUUCAGCGGCGGACGGGUGAGUAAUUCCUAGGAAUCUGCCUUGUCUUGGGGGAUAACGUCCGUAAACGGGCGCUAAUACCACAUACGUCCUGAGUGAGAACGGGGGGGUUCUUCGGACCUCACGCGAUCAGAUGAGCCUAGGUCGGAUUAGCUAGUUGGUGGGGUAAAGGCGUACCAAGGCGACGAUCCGUAACAGGUCUGAGAGGAUGAUCAGUCACACUGGAACUGAGACACGGUCCAGACUCCUACGGGAGGCAGCAGUAGGGAAUAUUGGACAAUGGGCGAAAGCCUGAUGCAGCAAUGCCGCGUGUGUGAAGAAGGUCUUCGGAUUGUAAAGCACUUUAAGUUGGGAGGAAGGGAAGUAAGUUAAUCCGUUGCUGUUUUGACGUUACCAACAGAAUAAGCACCGGCUAACUACGUG